CUGAGAGAACAGACAGUGCCUGCUAUCCCCCAUGGCAGAAUCUCCUGAUCACACUGCUGCAGACGCCAGGCGGCCUGACAGGGUGGAGAACGGCUCAGGCCACUGGGGGAAGGUUUCACUCCACGGUGGGACCUGAAGAAGGGAGAUUUGCCAUCUGGCCUUCUCUGGGUUGAGAAAAUCCCAACUACAGCCCCUGUUUGCCCAAAGCGGAGUUCAGGCACUCUCGGAUUAUGAUGAAUCCCCAGAGGACCCAAAAGGAAACCUGAAAUGGAAAGUGGACUAAGACACAUGGCAAGCCAACUACAUAAAAAGAAUCAUGGAAAAAAGGGCUCCAACCUCAAGACACAUCUGAUCUAGGUGGAAGUGUGAGUCACACAUGCACAAAAGGCAAGGCGUAGCGGCAAUAAAGGACAGAUCCCUGCUAAUGCACCUGGGAAAGAAGCGGAAGAUGGCCCAUGUGCUUGGGCCUCUGUCACCCACGUGGAAGACCCCAGUGGAGUUUCAGGUUCCUGCCUACAGCUGUUGUGAACAUUUGGAGUGAACCAGUGGAUGGAAGAUCUCUCUCGAUGUCUCUUUCCUUGUAACUCUGCCUUUCAAAUAAAUAAAAGUAAACCUUAAAAAAAAUUGGGAUCAGGGGGCUGGCACUGUGGCAUAGCGGGUAAAGCUGCUGCCCGCAGUGCCAGCAUCCCGUAUGGGAACUACUUCAGUCCCCGGCUGCUACACUUCCAAUCCAGCUCUCUGCUAUGCCCUGGGAAAGCAGCAGAAGAUGACCCAAGUCCUUGGGCCCCUGCACCCGCGUGGGAGACCCAGAAGAAGCUCCUGGCUCCUGGCUUCAGAUCGGCCCAGCUCCAGCUGUUGCAGCCAUUUGGGGAGUGAACCAGCAAAUGAAAGACCUCUCUCUGCCUC